rnacentral:rRNA from 1 species
AAAUUGAAGAGUUUGAUCAUGGCUCAGAUUGAACGCUGGCGGCAGGCCUAACACUUGCAAGUCGAGCGGUAGCACAGAGAGCUUGCUCUCGGGUGACGAGCGGCGGACGGGUGAGUAAUGUCUGGGAAACUGCCUGAUGGAGGGGGAUAACUACUGGAAACGGUAGCUAAUACCGCAU